UACGGAGGAUCCAAGCGUUAUCCGGAUUUAUUGGGUUUAAAGGGCGCGUAGGUGGCUGUGCAAGUAAGGUGUGAAAGCCCUCGGCUUACCCGGGGAAUUGCGCCUUAAACUGCAUGGCUUGAGGGAUUCAGGGGAAUGGGGAACUCCAGGUGUAGCGGUGAAAUGCGCAGAUAUCUGGGGGAAGGCCGGCGGCGAAGGCGCCAUUCUGGGAAUUUCCUGACACUGAGGCGCGAAAGCGUGGGGAGCAAACAGG
rnacentral:rRNA from 1 species